rnacentral:rRNA from 1 species
GACGAACGCUGGCGGCGUGCUUAACACAUGCAAGUCGAGCGGUAAGGCCCUUUCGGGGGUACACGAGCGGCGAACGGGUGAGUAACACGUGGGUGACCUGCCCUUAGCUCUGGGAUAAGCCUGGGAAACUGGGUCUAAUACCGGAUAUGACUCCAUGACGCAUGUUGUGGGGUGGAAAGCCUUGUGCGGCUAGGGAUGGGCCCGCGGCCUAUCAGCUUGUUGGUGGGGUGAUGGCCACCAAGGCGACGACGGGUAGCCGGCCUGGGAGGGCGACCGGCCACACUGGGACUGAGGCACGGCCCAGACUCCUACGGGAGGCAGCAGUGGGGAAUCUUGCGCAAUGGGCGAAAGCCUGACGCAGCGACGCCGCGUGGGGAUGACGGCCUC